UGAUAUAACUCAAGCAAGAAUUCUCUCCUUUGAAUUAAACCUCAAGCAAGCCAAAUAUGCAAAGAAUAAUCCAUGUAUCAUAUGAAACCAAAGUAACCAAGCAAAGUCUUCAAAAGAAAUCCAAAGCCUAAGGUACCAGAUGAAUCCCAAAGUCUUAAAUCAUAAGCUUCCAAAGAAAUGGUCAAAGUCCUAAUUCUAAGUCCAUAACUCCACAACAAUGCUAAGGAUAGUAACCACAAGUCCACGAAUCCAGGGAACCGAUUUUUUUUAGGGGGGAGGGGA
rnacentral:lncRNA from 1 species